UGGGGAAUAUUGCGCAAUGGGGGGAACCCUGACGCAGCCAUGCCGCGUGAAUGAAGAAGGCCUUAGGGUUGUAAAGUUCUUUCGGUAUUGAGGAAGGUUGAUGUGUUAAUAGCACAUCAAAUUGACGUUAAAUACAGAAGAAGCACCGGCUAGCUCCGUGCCAGCAGCCGCGGUAAUACGGAGGGUGCGAGCGUUAAUCGGAAUAACUGGGCGUAAAGGGCACGCAGGCGGUUAUUUAAGUGAGGUGUGAAAGCCCCGGGCUUAACCUGGGAAUUGCAUUUCAGACUGGGUAACUAGAGUACUUUAGGGAGGGGUAGAAUUCCACGUGUAGCGGUGAAAUGCGUAGAGAUGUGGAGGAAUACCGAAGGCGAAGCNAGCCCCUUGGGAAUGUACUGACGCUCAUGUGCGAAAGCGNGGGGGAGCAAACAGGAUUAGAUACCCUGGUAGUCCACGCUGUAAACGCUGUCGAUUUGGGGGUUGGGGUUUAACUCUGGCGCCCGUAGCUAACGUGAUAAAUCGACCGCCUGGGGAGUACGGCCGCAAGGUUA
rnacentral:rRNA from 1 species